CCUACGGGAGGCAGCAGUGGGGAAUAUUGGACAAUGGGGGCAACCCUGAUCCAGCCAUGCCGCGUAUGUGAAGAAGGCCCUCGGGUUGUAAAGCACUUUCAGUGAGGAAGAACGCCUGGUGGUUAAUACCCAUCAGGAAAGACAUCACUCACAGAAGAAGCACCGGCUAACUCCGUGCCAGCAGCCGCGGUAAUACGGAGGGUGCGAGCGUUAAUCGGAAUUACUGGGCGUAAAGCGCGCGUAGGUGGCUUGAUAAGCCGGUUGUGAAAGCCCCGGGCUCAACCUGGGAACGGCAUCCGGAACUGUCAAGCUAGAGUGCAGGAGAGGAAGGUAGAAUUCCCGGUGUAGCGGUGAAAUGCGUAGAGAUCGGGAGGAAUACCAGUGGCGAAGGCGGCCUUCUGGACUGACACUGACACUGAGGUGCGAAAGCGUGGGUAGCAAACAGGAUUAGAUACCCUAGUAGUC
rnacentral:rRNA from 1 species